GUGGGGAAUCUUCCGCAAUGGACGAAAGUCUGACGGAGCGACGCCGCGUGAGUGAAGAAGGCCUUCGGGUCGUAAAGCUCUGUCAUCAGGGACGAACGGCCGGUGGAGUGGAAAGCCACCGGAUUGACGGUACCUGAGAAGGAAGCCACGGCUAACUACGUGCCAGCAGCCGCGGUAAUACGUAGGUGGCAAGCGUUGUCCGGAAUUAUUGGGCGUAAAGCGCGCGCAGGUGGGAUCUUAAGUCCAUGUUUAAAGUUCGGAGCUCAACUCCGUGAUGGGAUGGAAACUGGGAUUCUUGAGUACCGGAGAGGAAAGCGGAAUUCCCCGUGUAGCGGUGAAAUGCGUAGAUAUGGGGAGGAACACCAGUGGCGAAGGCGGCUUUCUGGCACAAUACUGACGCUCAUGUGCGAAAGCUAGGGCAGCGAACGGGAUUAGAAACCCUAGUAGUCC
rnacentral:rRNA from 1 species